AGCGAACGCUGGCGGUAGGCCUAACACAUGCAAGUCGAACGGCAGCACAGGAGAGCUUGCUCUCUGGGUGGCGAGUGGCGGACGGGUGAGGAAUACAUCGGAAUCUACUCUGUCGUGGGGGAUAACGUAGGGAAACUUACGCUAAUACCGCAUACGACCUACGGGCGAAAGCAGGGGACCUUCGGGCCUUGCGCGAUUGAAUGAGCCGAUGUCGGAUUAGCUAGUUGGCGGGGUAAAGGCCCACCAAGGCGACGAUCCGUAGCUGGUCUGAGAGGAUGAUCAGCAACACUGGAACUGAGACAAGGUCCAGACUCCUACGGGAGGCAGCAGUGGGGAAUAUUGGACAAUGGGCGCAAGCCUGAUCCAGCCAUACCGCGUGGGUGAAGAAGGCCUUCGGGUUGUAAAGCCCUUUUGUUGGGAAAGAAAUCCAGCUGGCUAAUACCCGGUUGGGAUGACGGUACCCAAAGAAUAAGCACCGGCUAACUUCGUGCCAGCAGCCGCCGUAA
rnacentral:rRNA from 1 species